AUGCCAGUGCCUACUCUUCGUGUUGUCCUAUCAAUGUCUCAGCUUUUGUGGAAAUAUAGUCCAACAAGGGAAACACAGCCUGCUAUGACAGGGAGUCUUAGUGAAGAAACUAUAGAUGUUAACUAUGAAGAGUCCAAGAAAACUGGGAAGAUUCAUCUUUGCUCUAGGGCCAAUUUUUAGAUGAAGCAAAACCAUUUCCUUUCACUACUCUUGCUGGCAAAAAAAGAAAGAAAAUACAGCUCAAAACAAAGUAUUCACCAAGGCA
rnacentral:lncRNA from 1 species